UAUGUAGGGUGCGAGCGUUAAUCGGAAUUACUGGGCGUAAAGCGUGCGCAGGCGGUUCGUUGUGUCGGUGGUGAAAUCCCCGGGCUUAACCUGGGAAUGGCCAUGGAAACUGGCGAACUGGAGUGCGGCAGAGGGGGGUGGAAUUCCGCGUGUAGCAGUGAAAUGCGUAGAGAUGCGGAGGAACACCGAUGGCGAAGGCAGCCCCCUGGGCUAGCACUGACGCUCAGGCACGAAAGCGUGGGGAGCAAACAGG
rnacentral:rRNA from 1 species